GCGGCCGACUACCGGCGCCGUGUCCCGUCAUUCGUGUGGCUUAGGUCACUGUUGCCUUUCGAGUGCUUGCGUGCAGGUACCCGACCUUCGGGAAGUGGUGCWUCGUACAAGGUUGCCUCGCGGUGGACACCUUCUGGUGCGCUACUGCGGCCAAAUGGCGCUUGCGGCGUUGCCUCGUGGUGCUGAUGCAUUUUUGUGUUUGCGCUAUCAAGGCAGCCUCGCUCUCGCUAUUGGUUUCGGAUGUUGCUCACGAUAUAGGCUCGAGUCCCUUUUGGUUGCCUCGACCUGACACUAAGAUUGCUCUCCGAACUUGCGAGUCGUGGAACGGGGUGUUGCCUCUACCUUUCCGCUUAGCGGUAGGAUACACAACAACCUGCCCCGAUUCAAUAACAGUAAGGAUGUGAUCUUGGCCCGCUCAAUUGCGACAACCGGCCCGGCAGUUGUCUCGACCUGACCCUAGGCUUGCUCUCCGAACUUGCGAGUCGUGGAACGGAGUGUUGCCUMUACCUCUCCGCUUWGCGGUAGGAUAUGCAACAUUCUGGGCCGAUUCAAUAACAGUAAGGACGAGAGCUUGGUACUAAUAGAYGGUCGGGCGGGCAAAUGCCGAAGUCGGACGUCAAAAAGGACGUGCUACCUGGUUGAUCCUGCCAGUAGU
rnacentral:misc_RNA from 1 species